GCGCAGAGACAGGUGGUGCAUGGCUGUCGUCAGCUCGUGUCGUGAGAUGUUGGGUUAAGUCCCGCAACGAGCGCAACCCACGUCGUUAGUUGCCAGCAUUUAGUUGGGCACUCUAGCGAGACCGCCGGUGAUAAACCGGAGGAAGGUGUGGAUGACGUCAAGUCAUCAUGCCCCUUACAUCCUGGGCUACACACGUACUACAAUGCUACGGACAAAGGGCAGCAAACUCGCGAGAGCUAGCAAAUCCCAUAAACCGUGGCUCAGUUCAGAUCGUAGGCUGCAACUCGCCUACGUGAAGGAGGAAUCGCUAGUAAUCGCAGGUCAGCAUACUGCGGUGAAUACGUUCCCGGGCCUUGUACACACCGCCCGUCACACCAUGGAAGUGGCCACG
rnacentral:rRNA from 1 species